rnacentral:rRNA from 1 species
GACAGAGGGGGCAAGCGUUGCUCGGAAUCACUGGGCGUAAAGGGCGCGUAGGCGGGAUGGCAAGUCAGUCGUGAAAUCUCUCGGCUCAACCGAGAAACGUCGGCUGAUACUGCCGUUCUUGAGGGAUGCAGAGGAGACUGGAAUUCCCGGUGUAGCGGUGAAAUGUGUAGAGAUCGGGAGGAACACCGGUGGCGAAGGCGGCGACCUGGGUCGAGACUGACGCUGAGGCGCGAAAGCGUGGGGAGCAAACAGG